AUGACCUGGGCAGCAACUCUUGAUUAUGGGCGCAAGACAAAGAAUGAGGACAUACGACCAGGGCCACUGCGUCCAGCAAAUAUCAUAAGAAACAAAUUUCCUACCUACAAGAAUGGUUCAAACGGCAUUGUGAUCAAGCUGGCAGAUGGCCCAGAAGUGCCGCCUCUCAAGGAGGUUGUUGCUAAGGAGACGGAGGAACUGCUUGAUCGCCGUCAGCGCUUCUCAGUCCGUGAGCUUGCAAUGAAGUUUGAGAAGGGACUCAACACUGCCACUCUGUUGUCUAAAGAGGUUAAAUGGAGACAAGUGGCUUUGUUGGAGCGAGACAUUCUCCUGAAAAAUCUAAAGAGUGUAUUGGAGUCACUGAGAGGUCAAGUCACGGGCAAAACUAAGGACGAAAUUGAGGAGUCUAUUUCUAUGGUGGAAAUUCUUGCAGUUCAGCUCUCCAAAAGAGAAGCUGAGUUGAUUCAACAAAAAACAGAGGUCACAGAAUUAGCGAAAUCAUUAAAGCUGGCUUCUGAAGAUGCCAAGAGAAUUGUUGAAGAAGAAAGAGUUAAUGCCAAUACGGAGGUAGAGAGUGCUAGGUCUGCAGUUCAAAGAGUUCAAGAAGCACUUCAGGAGCAUGAAAAGAUGUCCAAAAGAACUGGGAAGCAAGAUAUGGAGGAACUAAAGAAAGAAGUUAGAGUGGCCAGGAGAAUAAAAAUGCUGCAUUGCCCUAGCAAGGCAAUGGAUCUGGAAAAUGAAAUCAAAACUUUACGUAAGACGUUCACUGAGAAGUCCGUGGAUUGUGUCAAUCUUUUGAAAGAGUUGGAACUGCACAAAAGACUAAAAGGAAACGACAUUCCCGUGUUUGAUUUGGAGGGUCUCCAGUGCUUAGGUUCAAUGCUACACAUAGUUUGUCAGAACGGUACUCCCAUGGAUUUCUCAAAUAUUUCGGUCCAGUGGUUCCGGAUACACCCAAAAGAAAGCAACAAAGAGAUUAUUUCAGGUGCCACAAGACCAGCAUAUGCUCCAGAGCCAAAUGAUGUUGGACGUUACAUGCAAGCUGAAAUCAAUUUUGGGGGUGAAACUGCAAUAGCAAAGACAGCUGGGCUAGUAGACCCUGAUGCUGGACUGGUGGAUUAUGUAGAGACACUCGUAAGAAAACCUGAAACUGAGUUCAAUGUUGUUGUGCUUCAGUUGAAUGGAAUUGAUCAGCCGAAAGAGGCUGUUCAUGUUCUCAAUGUGGGGAGAUUGCGGAUGAGACUUUCAAAAGGGAAGACAGUGGUCGCCAAAGAAUUCUAUUCCUCAUCGAUGCAGCUAUGUGGUGUUCGAGGUGGCGGGGAAGCAGCCUCACAGGCGAUGUUUUGGCGGCCCCGGAGUGACCUCAGCUUCGCCGUUGCCUUCGAAACAGCGAGAGAGCGGAACGCCGCCAUCAUGCUGGCGCGGCGAUUCGCCAUUGAUUGCAAUGUCCGGGUGACAAGACUCCCUGGUGAAGGAGACGGCGCGCACUGGUGCUGGAUGCUUGUGCCUCCGAACUCCGGCCCGACCGGCGACCCUUGCAGAGCGUUGCAGAGCGAACGUGAUGUUGUACAUUUUAGUGUAUUUCAUGAUAUGUUGUAG
rnacentral:rRNA from 1 species